UACGAAGGGGGCUAGCGUUGCUCGGAAUCACUGGGCGUAAAGCGCACGUAGGCGGAUCUUUAAGUCAGGGGUGAAAUCCCAAGGCUCAACCUUGGAACUGCCUUUGAUACUGGGGAUCUCGAGUCCGGAAGAGGUUGGUGGAACUCCGAGUGUAGAGGUGAAAUUCGUAGAUAUUCGGAAGAACACCAGUGGCGAAGGCGGCCAACUGGUCCGGCACUGACGCUGAGGCACGAAAGCGUGGGGAGCAAACAGG
rnacentral:rRNA from 1 species